rnacentral:rRNA from 1 species
UACGUAGGGGGCAAGCGUUAUCCGGAUUUACUUGGUGUAAAGGGAGCGUAGACGGCAGUGCAAGUCUGGAGUGAAAGGCGGGGGCUCAACCCCCGGACUGCUCUGGAAACUGUACGGCUGGAGUGCAGGAGAGGUAAGUGGAAUUCCUAGUGUAGCGGUGAAAUGCGUAGAUAUUAGGAGGAACACCAGUGGCGAAGGCGGCUUACUGGACUGUAACUGACGUUGAGGCUCGAAAGCGUGGGGAGCAAACAGG